AAGGGAAAGAGAAUUCAACCUGUGUGGAGAACGGUCCUGGUAAUGUCAAAGGGAAAUGGGCAGACUCAACUCCCGUCUGUAGAGCAAUAACCUGCGACACGCCGUCCCUGACAAAUGGACAAGAGUCUGUUUCGAAAACUGUACAUCUAGGUUCAGCAGUUAGCUACCGGUGUAACACAGGUUACGUUCUAGAAGGGAAAGGAAAUUCGACCUGUGUCGAGGAUGGUCCUGAUAAUGUUAAAGGGAGCUGGGCUGACCCGAUACCUGCAUGCACAGCUAUUACCUGUGAACCUCCUGUCAUAUCAAACGGACAUGUAUCAGUCAUCAAAGCAGCGGUGUAUGGGUCAACUGUAACCUAUCAUUGUAACCAAGGCUUUGUUCUCGAUGGGAAAGGAAGCUCCAAGUGUAGUCAAAAUGGAACUGACA